CUGGGUUCGUCUACUGUAUCGAUGACUCCAGGAGCUGGAGAAGGAUCAUGAGUUUAGUGAAACCGCAAAGGCUCAGUAAACCGGUCAUAGUUUACCGGAUAUAUGCCACUCACGUGGAUAACUGUGGUAAUUCUAGAGCUAAUACAUGCAACCAAGUCCCGACCAGCGAUGGAAAGGACGCUUUUAUUGGAUCAAAACCAUUCGCCCGGCUCGCCCGGGCGUCUGCUUGAUGACUCUAGAUAACACCACAGAUCGCACGGUCACAGUACCGGCGACGUAUCCGUCAAAUGUCUGACUUAUCAGCUGUCGAUGGUAGACUCUGUGUCUACCAUGGCGCUCACGGGUAACGGGGAAUCAGGGUUCGAUUCCGGAGAGGGAGCCUGAGAAACGGCUACCACAUCCAAGGAAGGCAGCAGGCACGCAAAUUACCCACUCCCGGCACGGGGAGGUAGUGACAAAAAAUAACGAUACGGGACUCAUCCGAGGCCCCGUAAUCGGAAUGAGAACACCCUAAAUCCUUUAACGAGGAUCUAUUGGAGGGCAAGUCUGGUGCCAGCAGCCGCGGUAAUUCCAGCUCCAAUAGCGUAUAUUAAAGUUGUUGCGGUUAAAAAGCUCGUAGUUGGUUCUGCGUGCCACGCUGUCGGUUCACCGCCUGUCGGUGCAACUGGCAUGCCGUGGCAUGUCCUGUCGGUGGCCGACGGGCUUCGCGGCGCGCCCCACUCGCUCAGGCGUGUGGGUGUACGCGCCGUGUCGUCCUCGUUGGCCGGCUCAAUCCUACCGCGGUGCUCUUAAACGAGUGUCGAGGUAGGCCGACACUGUUUACUUUGAACAAAUUAGAGUGCUUAAAGCAGGCUCUGAAAGCAGCCUGAAUAGUGGUGGCUGGGAAUAAUGGAACAGGACCUUGGGUUCAUUUUUGUUGGUUUACGGAAUCCAAGGUAAUGAUCCAAUAAGGACAAGCCGGGGGCAAUUCGUAUUGCGAAGGUUAGAGGUGAAAAUUCUUGGAAUCGUCCGCAAAACGCCCUAAAACGUAAAGCAUUUGCCCAGGUAUGGCCUUAAUUUGAUUCCAGAAACGAAAAGGUUAAAAGGUUCGAAAGGGGAAUCCGAAAACGGCCCCUAAUUUUUUAACCCUUAAACCGAUGGCCAACCCAGCGGAUCGGCCCGAUGGUUCCCUCCGAAUGACUCCGGGGGGGGAAACUUUUCCCCCGGGGAAACCCAAAGGUUUUUUGGGAUGUCCGGGGGGGAGAAGUUGGGUUGCCAAAGUUUGUAAAGUUUGAAUGAAAAUUUGACGGAAAAGGCGCGCCCGCCAGGAGAUGGGAGACGCUGCCGGCCUUUAUUUUUUGUUUGCUACAGGCGGGAAGAAAACCGGUGCCCGG
rnacentral:rRNA from 1 species